rfam:Trichobilharzia regenti genome assembly, scaffold: TRE_scaffold0024875
GUACUGCUGAAGAGUCCCAGGCACUAGGACGAAUCAGCUGUCCAGUAC